GUAUAACCUCCCAUUGUAGUUUAAGGUGAAACUUAGUUUACGAACUGUCAUAUUAGAAAUUAUAGCAGGAAUUGCAGACACUAAGUCUGGACAAAACUAAGAGAAAACCCUUUGAAGUGAAAGAAAACUUAAGUUAUGGCAACUAUAAAGAUAAAGCAAAAUGACGUCAAAAUAGCCACCAAGAAAAGUUAACUCUUUCCUGGAU